rnacentral:sRNA from 1 species
GGGCGGAAGAGGUGGCUCCGGAUGCUGCGGCGCCCGCUGGCCGGGCUGGCUGCGGCCGCCCUGGGCCGGGCCCCACCGGACGGCUUGCUCUGCUCUUUACCUGGGGUUGCUGUCGAGGACCCUGUGCAAGACUCGGCCGGUUUUUCUUUCUCCCUGAUGGACAGACCCAAACAUAGCCGCGCAGCAUCGUGAAGGGCUGGGGCCUUCACUCCUCUGUGGCUCUGGAAGAGCCCGGUUUCCUCAGGAGGCAUGUCGGGCCCCAGGCCUGUGGUGCUGAGCGGGCCUUCGGGAGCUGGGAAGAGCACCCUGCUGAAGAGGCUGCUCCAGGAGCACAGCGGCAUCUUUGGCUUCAGCGUGUCCCGUGAGUCCAGGGCUCUUGUGGAGGGGUGCGUAGACCUCAAGGCUGCUGAGUAGUCCUAGCACUGUGAGCAGGCCAGGAGCCCAAACCCAACAGGCACACCCACCCUGCAGACUGUCCGAACUCUUGCACACUCCCCCCCCACACAGAACCUGAGGUUAUCACACUCCUGCUGUCCUGCGUGCCUGUGUCUCCCUUCCCUGGGUCUGUUGAGUACUGAUAACUGGGCCACAGUGUUUCUUUCUGGGAGAACCCUCGCCUUGUAGGCUCCUGCGCCUUCCCAGUGGUGUGCUCCACUGGCUGCCUGCAUCCUGGGGCUCAAGUGCUGUCAGGACUGCAAGGGAAAUGCUGGGUGGGGCACUGGGCUCCGAGCAGCCCCCGAUGGGUGACAGGUCUCUCUGCUAGAUACCACGAGGAACCCGAGGCCCGGCGAGGAGAACGGCAAAGAUUACUACUUUGUAACCAGGGAGGUGAUGCAGCGUGACAUAGCAGCCGGCGACUUCAUCGAGCAUGC